UCCUCGUCACCCCAAUUCCCCCCCCCCCCCCCGUGCCGCCUACUCGCCCUCAUCUCCUACCCGUCCGGCUCGUCGGAGCAGCGGCCGGCAGAGAGCUGCGGUGGUCCGCACUGCAGAAGCAGUAGCGGCCGAUGGCGGCGGAAACGAUGGCCGUCAUGGGCAGAGCAGCGCGGUGGCCGGGUGCCAUCUGGAGAGCCGGUGGCCGGUGGUGCGCGAUCUGGGCGAUUUGGAGGUGAGGCGACAACGUUGACUAGGACGUCGAUGGAAAUCUUCAUCGUGCCGCUCGGAGAGGAGCUCGUCCGCCUCGUCGACGAUCCCCUCUUCUCGACGGAUCCGCGAUGGAGGUGCUCAAGGAGGAGCUUCUUCUCUGGAUUCCAUGGAGAUCGUCAAGGGAUCCGCUGCACCUCCGUCCUCGCAGCGCCUGAGAUCACUGGCCCGAGCAAGGUGCCACCGAGCACUGCUCCUAGGUCCUCGCAGCUAAUACACAUACCCUCUACAAUUAGAUUGGUACAAUGAUCUCUGACUUGGAUACUUGUGCUACAUCUGAAUUUUGCAAGUAAUUGAAAAUUUGAUCUCUCCUGUUGUAAUGCGAACUAGAAAGGUGGGUAUCUUAAUUCAGAAUGUUAUUAGAAUCUUAUGGACUGCCAUUUACUUGCACAACAUAUGCAGUCAUUUUAUUUGAUCCUUCACUGUCAUAUCACGUCAGGCUGGGGGAAUUGUAACAGGAAAAAACCUAGGUUGUCUCUUCUGAUUGCAAUGAUUUUAGCCUAUGAUUUUCAUUUGAUUGAUGUUCUGAAGUAGCUUACUCAAGUCCAGGUUCUCCAAUGAUGUGCAGAACUCUUGCAGGCACCUUUGUAAUUGCAAAAAUUAAGACAAGCUAUGAAGGGACCUUUUCUUGAUCCCUUCAUAGCUUGUCUUAAUUUUUGUUACGAAUCUGUUCUCGCACUAAUAUCAUAUCAUGCUAAAUGUGAAACCCAGCUACAUGAACUAUAAUUUCUCAUAUCAAAAGAGUCCAGAAGGGAAGCUACCCAAUAUUAUGUUAGGAACUUUGUCAUGGUUCGUCCUCAGAAGCUUCUAUACAUCGCCAUUGGUAGUUGGUACGUAUUUUGGAUCUUUGUUAUGGAGGGACUCUCUCGCUGAUAUUUUCCAUUUGAUGUAAUUCAUAUGGUUAUAUACUCUGGUUUAGUGGUUGAAAUUAGGACUGCCAAAUAUACUUUAUCAUGCAGAACUUCUUGCCAUCAUACAACUAUGUAAUAUAUAUAUACGAUAAUAUGAUAGUUCGUCCUGAUGUUUAUACUCGCAUGAUGGUUUACUUUAGUAUUGUAAUUGAAGUUACUCAUCAGUGUCUUGGUUAUACUGAAGUUUGCCAUCUUUUUGAAAUAUAUGCAGUUGACUGUUGCAAGGACACGAACCAUAUUACAGUUGCAAAAGAGAAUUCACUUAAGAUAUUAUCAUCGGGUUUGAAAGAAAGAUGUUGCAUGGCCCUCUUGUUUCAAUUCUGUCCUGGUAGUGAUUCAGAGGGCACUGCCAUCAAAGGUAAUGAAUCUCCAUUUUGGUUUUUGGUAUUCUUCUCAGGUAUAUAAUAAAUUGUUCGGUUCCUCCAAUUUUCUUCUUAUUAUUUUUCUGAACACAGUCGCCCCUUCCCCAGUUCUGUAAGGAUAUGCGGUUUCUGUUGAUGGCCUCGUGGCUGAUUGCAUCUUGACGGAACACAAUUUCAUCAAUAAAUAUGUCCGUGUUGCUAGCCUGAGAAUUAGCUUGUUUGGUAGUUGACUCAUGAUAGUUCUUUUCCUUUUAAACUGAUUUUUGAUCAGUAGUUCAUAAACCAUGUACAAGAUUGAGAGAUUAAAUAAAGAGCUAGGCUGAGGUUUCACCGCUCAGCCUAUCAGUUUGUGUUUGGCUGAUAGAAACAAUAUUGUUUGGUUUAUACAAUGAUUACCUGACAAGUUCAUCUUCCUCUUUGCAAAUAUUACAUAAUAAGUAAUGGGACUGCUAUCUUUAAUUCUCUCAUGGCAAUCAGGCUAGGCACAUACAAGAGCGCACACGUCCGCCUUAGGAGUAAGAGGCGUGUGACAUGUGUUUUAGUUUCUAAUAGAAACACAAAAUAUGUCUAUUUUGCUCGUUAGAUAAUUAUUUUUAUUGUGUGCGCGUGUUGCACACUCAUGUCAUGACCGUGAAUGGAAGUGCACAAAGCAAAUGCAUUAUGACCCGAUGUUUUAAUUUAUAGCACCUAUUGGUCUGGUAAGAUAUACGUUGUUACAAAUACAGAAAUCCAACACAAUAAUGUGCGGGAUAAUAGCGCCUCCUUGCGCGUUCCACCUCAUCGUUUUUUACUGUGCUAGCGAGAGAGAGAAAAACUGAGAGGGUAAAAAGGGGUGGACGCUACCUAGCGGGGACGCAAUUGGGCGAGAGGAGGAGGAGGAGGCACUUCUCCUGCUAGAUCCAUGGCCAUCACGUCGCUAUCGACAUCCACCCUCCUCAACAGAUCGAUCGAUCGGACGUCGCCAUGAUGUCUCUCUUUGUUGUGGAUUCAUGCGUGUUUUUUGUUCAAUCCAACCCUUACUGCAGGGCCUAGCGAAGGGAAUGAAGAGGCACACCCUCAGCCACGACUCUGUCCUUCAGCUACAAAAGCUAGAUAGAUUGUAAUCAGUUGCGUGAUUGAAACAACAUUUAGGUCAUCACAAAGGGCUCAAAAUGUUAUUAAGCCAAAACAUUGAUUUUGUGUUAUUACAAUGUUAUGUAUUAGUGAUGUGAUGUGAUUCGCCAUGUCCAACUCAUCCAUUUGGAUCUAAGUUCAAUUGGCUAAAAAAGAAGCUAGAUUUGGUACAAGUCUUUUUUGGGAGAUAUGCCCAUGAUAAUCGUAGUAAUCUUAGUUCUUGGCCUUUCAUUUGGAAAAAAGCUAGAUCUAUUCAUGAUAAUCGUAGUUCUUACCUUUCAUUAUUUAUCUUUAGGUAUGCAAAGAAGUUGGCUUUGGUACAAGUCUUUUUUGGUAGAUUAGUUACAUUGAAAUUCGAUAAAUAUUUGCUGAAUAUCCAGUAUCACAAGAAUCCUUGUAUUAGCUUGUUUCCAAAUGCUUAGUUUUAUGAGAGGAGGAUUUUAGAUGUUUCAAAUGUCCUGCCUCCUAGCUAUAACAAGGAUUAUACAUGCCUCUUGUUUGGCAGCUACACUCUUAUAAAUGACAGGAUGGAAGGGAAGACAAGGAGGGCACAAGAAACAGUCGACGAAACAUGGUUGAAGUUGUUGUUCUGCACCUCAUCCAAACCAUCUUUAGAUGUAUGUCUUGAGCUGAACCCUCACUUUUCUUGCAACCUUGGUAUAUCAUGCCUCGAUGUCCUUGGUAGUUAUUAAUUUGUUUCUAUAUUAAGUGACUUCGCUGAUAUAACAUGGCAUCUUUAGAAGCUUAUAGGGUCUUCCUUUCAUGUAUUACAUGUCGCAUAACCUUCAUUGAUAGAAAGGUGAUCACGCAAUACUUUGUGUUAAACAAUCCAGUUGUUACCUGUGUAUAUCUUGUGUUUUGUUAACUCCAUCAAUCUGGGUUUAUGAAAAUCCAGUUCCCUGCGUAUAUUUGUCAGCAAGUCCACUGUCAUCUAUUUCCUUAUUUAAUACCCCCUCCGUUCCAAAAUAGAUGACCCAACUUUGUAUUAACUUUGUACUAAAGUUAGUACAAAGUUGAGUCAUCUAUUUUGGAACGGAGGGAGUAGAUAAUGUUACAUAUUUUUUUGCAAAACUGAGAACAUUAAGUAGAUGACAUGAAAGAUGAAACAUAGCUCUAUGAGAGUUGUUGGCCACUACAUGUACUCCCUUUUUGGUAGUAUUUUCUUUUACCUUCAGAGCUGAAAAGUGAUGUUGUGUCAGUUGUAAGCUGAUACAGAAUCAACUUCAGUUUGCUAAAGAAAAUUCUCCUUCUCUUUUUGUUUAAUGCCGAUCUUUAUAAAGCACAUGUGAUGAUGUUUAAUCAGUUUGACUUUGACCAUACUUUCAUGUGCUCCCUCUAGGUGUUCUUUUCUUUUCCUCCUUAUCAUUUUGUUAGUAGUUUAGGUUGUAGUUUUUUCCUGUUUUUGACAGUACCUUGGGUGGCUGCCAAAUUUGCACAAUUUUGUAGCAUUUUUGAACCCAUGCUUGAGAAUUUUUUUUAAGUUGGUUCGGAUAUGCGCAUUUAGUGUACUGUAAUGCAAACCACAUGUAUGCAUAUUAGUCUGAUAUGACUCAUGCUUGUUGUCCAAGGAGUACUGAGUUUAUUGCAUAUACAUUUUCUUUAUAACAUGUGGCUUUUUGUGUGGUCAUGAACAAAUGUGUGUCUACUUCUUGGAGUCAUCCAUGUGGUUCACUUGUCUCUGUUACGUUGUUUGUAAUUAUGAUUUGCAAGGGCAUGUGCUAUUUUGCCUCAUGCGUCUCUCUCGCGUCCCUCUCGUCGUCGGCUUUGUGCCUCACGAUUCCUGAUUAGAGAAGAUUGGGAGAAUGUAAUUAUGUCAGUUCAAUUGGAGAUCAGGCUGAUGGUGAUUACUGUUUAGGACAGAAUGUCAUUAUCUCAGUACAAUUAGAGAACAGGUGGAUUGUGCAUGAACCGAUUAGUUGUGGAGUUUUAGGAAACAAAAGAGAUGUCUUUUUGUGCCUGAUUGUGAGUUUUUUUGGUAUGAAAAACAUGUACGAUGAACUUCUUUACUGAAAUAAUAGUUACUUGUUUCUUUUCUAUGUCUAGAAAUGCUCUUACUAUGCACUAGAAGCGCGCAUCGAGAAUGCGCAGAUCUACUCGAUGCACACUUCUGAUGGAUCAGUGCCUUCACCUCUUAUAGUUUGUUCACCACAUGAUAUGCCAAACACAAUUUUUUAUGGAAUCUGGAUGGUGUUGCGCCUCGGCUUUGCGAGGAACAAGGCGGUGCGCUCAUGUUGUCUCCUUGGGCUUGUUAAUCUUGCAAUGAGGCGCAGACCGAUGGGCACUACAGCAGUAUAAUAGAAGACAAAGGUCCUGAUAGAGUAUAAGUAGUUCAUUAAUUGAAUAUAUUCAGAGGUGAUAUGCCUUGCAUUAUGUUUGGCGCAUGCAUGUGUGGAACACUGUAUGUCCAGUUACUGAUGAUAAAAAACCAAGGUAAUUGUAACUAAGCUAGAUGAACUUACUGGCAAAGUAUAUCACCUGAAAGGAUGGCAACCACAAACCUGAUUUCUAUGCUAAGCAAGCUUUAUCAAACCCUUGAAUGUAAUGUAUGAGAUCUGUCUGGCAUAUAAACAAUGCAUUUGCUGCAAUAAAAGAAAUCUCUUAAAUCUUCUUGAAGGAUGUAAGAAGAACCUAAAAUAUCAGUCUUUGUGUUGUAUCCAAGUCAUUGGAUUGGAAAUGGUUAGAAAACUAUCAGAUGAUUUUAAUUGUACACUAUCCAAUAGACGUAACAAGACUAGGUACUUAGGUUGGUCAAUAUAACUCAUUCUGUCAUUCUAUCGACUAUAACUAUUAAUUAUGAUUCAUUUCAAUCAUGUUUAUACACAGGAAGCUUGUGCUGAUAAAAGUCCUAUGUCAGCUGAUGGAGCACGUGCAGGUUCAAGUUUGUUUAAGAUCAUUGUGGAGUCAUAUUUGAAGGGUACAAACCUUUUCAUUUGAAGUUGCCCUACCCUCGAAGACAUUGAUAAUUAUGCUUAUAGAGUGUUUCAUCCGUUGUUCUCAUGUUGUGCUACAUACUGACUGCGCUUCUUUUCUUUUACAUAGUUGCUAUUGAUUCUGCAUUUGAGGAUAAUGAUGAUGCUGAAAACUUUCGUGUUUCUGUUUCAAGUAUGUUGAAAUUUUUAAUAAAUAUUUCCUAUUCAGAGCACCCUCCACUUCGUGGCUCCUUCAUUUAUACUAAUGAAGUACUUCUUGGUGCACAAUGUGAUGAGCAAUUGGCCUUGUAUGCUCUGAUUGCACACGUAGCUGCUGACACCGCCAUACCCUUGAGCAAUUGUUUUCUGAGCGAUUUGCAUGGCUAAGUCAGGUCUCCUUCUUAGCUUCAUCUUGUGAAUUAUCUUGGUUCAAAAUCACCUAUGUGUCCCUGCUAUAAUAGCCUUCAUUCCAUGAUAAUGAUCCCACUCAUACAUUGGAGAAGAUGUAUUGGCUGUUUUCUUAGCUAAAAACAGUGAGAGAAUCUCUCACUAUGGCAUUUCAAUUAAAUAAAUUAAUGUCUGUACAUCAAGAUUACCAGCCAUGUCCUAAUUUAUUCAGGCGAAGGAGAAACACUGCUUGUAGAUAAUUCAAAGCUUCCUUCUUUGUACUUAUGUUUUCAAUUUUUUGAUAAACUAUUUGCAGUUCCAUCUACUUCGCAUAGUUUCUGCAAUUCUCAAAUUCGACUUGUGUUAUAGGCUUUAGUCCUUAUAACAUAUGGUACUCGAUUGAUCAUCGUGUAUAUUGUGUAAACAUAAAAUGAUGCACUGAAUGCAGUAUGCUCUUUCCAAUUGUUAUUGUGUUUUUCCCUAUCCGCUAAGAUAAAAAUCACACCUCUCAAAGUUUUAACAUUUAGUUAUUUUUGUCACAGAUUUCUGAGGCUUUACAGUAUGGAUUCACCAAUGCAGUUGAAGUAGCUCAACAUCCUGUAGUUACAUUUUUCAUGGUAGUAAUGUUUGCCUAAUGGUGGCUUAAUAGAGCUAGAUGUUUGCUAGAAUACAUUACACGCCUCAUUUUAUACCUGUUAAUGUAUGUGUCAUCGCAUGUUCAUAGAAAUGUAGUGUGCUAAUGAGUUUAGUUUGUAAGCUAUCCUAUUGUACAUGUCAUGGAGCUGACAAAAACGACUGCCAGAUGAGUGUGUCCUACCCUGGCCUGAGCAAUACAUAGUAC